UGCAAGUCGAACGAUGAACCACUUCGGUGGGGAUUAGUGGCGAACGGGUGAGUAACACGUGGGCAAUCUGCCCCUCACUUCGGGACAAGCCCUGGAAACGGGGUCUAAUACCGGAUGACAUUCCCGCCCGCAUGGGCGGGGAUUGAAAGCUCCGGCGGUGAGGGAUGAGCCCGCGGCCUAUCAGCUUGUUGGUGAGGUAACGGCUCACCAAGGCGACGACGGGUAGCCGGCCUGAGAGGGCGACCGGCCACACUGGGACUGAGACACGGCCCAAACUCCUACGGGAGGCAGCAGUGGGGAAUAUUGCACAAUGGGCGCAAGCCUGAUGCAGCGACGCCGCGUGAGGGAUGACGGCCUUCGGGUUGUAAACCUCUUUCAGCAGGGAAGAAGCGCAAGUGACGGUACCUGCAGAAGAAGCGCCGGCUAACUACGUGCCAGCAGCCGCGGUAAUACGUAGGGCGCGAGCGUUGUCCGGAAUUAUUGGGCGUAAAGAGCUCGUAGGCGGCCUGUCGCGUCAAUUGUGAAAGCCCGGGGCUUAACCCCGGGUCUGCAGUCGAUACGGGCAGGCUAGAGUGUGGUAGGGGAGAUCGGAAUUCCUGGUGUAGCGGUGAAAUGCGCAGAUAUCAGGAGGAACACCGGUGGCGAAGGCGGAUCUCUGGGCCAUUACUGACGCUGAGGAGCGAAAGCGUGGGGAGCGAACAGGAUUAGAUACCCUGGUAGUCCACGCCGUAAAC
rnacentral:rRNA from 1 species